UGUUCUGGAGCGGGUAGCUGUGCUGGCUGAUGAGAUGACUGAGAAGGUAUCAGUGGAGAGCCAGAGGCUGGGGGCCUGGGUUGUGCUUAAAGAGGGCACUGGAGCACAGCUAUUAUGCCCUGCUACUGGAUCAGUCCUCAGUAGGGAAGACAUCAUCGCUCCUGAUGGAUCUCUUAGAGCUUGUGAUGCCGUUCAUGUAAACCCCCUCACAGGCCUCAUUCAGCCCAACUCUAACGCCCAUAUGUUACUGGCCAGUGGACACAGCAUGCCAGUUCCCCCGGACUUCUUCCUACACUCCCAGACUGGCAAACUACUGCCUAUGGCUGGAAACGUGGGCUUUGAUCCUGUUUCCUCCACCCUUGUCUUUACAGCCGAUGCUUGUGUGGGGGAGGUGGGAAAAUGGGAACUACCCCUGCUGCCUUUCAUUCCGUACCCUCCGUCCCGCCACGCCGAACUUCAUGCUGCUUCCAAACUACGGGGGCUUCGUCAGGCCAAAGGCUGAUGCUUGGAGGACCCAUGUGUGACUGUGACACUGGUGUUUUGGUGCCUAUUCAGGCAGUCACCAUCCAUCCACAAACAGGAUUGGUUUAUCCUUUGGGAGGCGUGCACACGUGUCCCAUCUCACGCCUGUGGCAGCCUAUUCAAAUAGGCUCUCCCAUGCUGGACCCACGUACAGGUGACCUAGUGCUCAUCACGGGCAUCACUCUUGAUCCCCAUACAGGGGCUGUACUUCCAGUUGGGGGGCUUCUCCUAGGCGAGUCCUUCAUCGAGCCCUUGAGCGGACGGAUGGUGCGGGUUGGUGGAGGCAGCGUGCGAGGAGGAAAGGUGGUGCCUCAUGCUGGGGGUUUCCAGGCUCUGCUGGACAGCCAGGCUCUGGGCGCUUGCUUGCGAAUGGCAGAGCUCCUGCAAGGAUUCAGCUCAGCAGCUGCAGAUCCACAAGGUGACCUGGACAGACUCUCGGCAGCAACAUCUGAGCUGGAGCAGGCCUGGAAAAGCAGCCAACACUGUAUGUUGCAGCUGCUGAGUCGCCUGGAAGCCGUACAGGGACAGGCCAGGGGUGUGGUGGAGAAUGGCGGUAGUGUGGGGGAAAUUAAGCUUCCUGGCAUUGAGCUCUCCUUGCCAGCUCUCCCCGGGUUGGAGUAUCCUGACCCUGGAGGCUCGGGUCUGCAUGUCCCAGUUCUGGGAGCUCAGUUGGACUGGAUGUCAGGAUCUAUGGUGCCCCUGGCAGGAACCAUGGAGGAUGCAGAUGGUAAAGGGCUAGUUCCCAUACAUUUUGGAGCGCAGACAGUGGACCCAGUGACAGGGGUGCUGGCUCCGGUUGUGGGGGCCAGUCUGGAUGUUUGGAAACGGACUGUGGUUCCUGUAACUGUGUCCCAGAUUCUGACGUUAGGAGAAAACCCAGACAGUGUCACGGUGGAAGCCCUCCAGAAAGAGAGCAGUGUACAGGGCAAUUACUGGCGUGAGCAGACACUGAAGGAAGAGGAGAUGGUGGGAGAUUUUGACAGAGCCAUUAAACACUAUCUGUCCACAUCCAUACACGAGUCUGACUGUAUAGACUGGAUGGACACAGACAGGCACCUCAGGGAGACCGCCGCUGAGAUUCAGGAAAGUGCUCAGUGUGAGGCCCAGAGAAAAGCUCUCCAGAACUCAGAGUUAUCGCUGCUCCUACAAGCCCAUGUGUUACACACCUUCACAGGAGUAGAUGAAGAGGAGUGGGAGCAGCAGUGUUACUGGCACACUGAGCUUAAGGCCGUGCUGAACCGAGUGAGUGUGUCCAUGGAGAGACUGCAGAGGGACCGGGGAUCAGCUGUCGGCACAGGAAACGCAGCAUCUGGUCAGCUUGUUUUCACAUUGAAACAUAAAAAAACACUCUCACCCUCAGACAGAAAGAUACAAUGCUGA
rnacentral:lncRNA from 1 species